AGAGUUUGAUCAUGGCUCAGAAUGAACGCUGGCGGCGUGCCUGAUACAUGCAAGUCGAGCGCGAAAGUGGCCUUCGGGCCGCGAGUAGAGCGGCGGACGGGUGAGUAACACGUGGGUAACCUGCCUUGGAGAGGGGAAUAACUUGGGGAAACCCGAGCUAAUGCCGCAUGAGCUCGCCGGACCUUCGGUGCCGGCGAGGAAAGGUGGCCUAUUCUUGAAAGCUGCCGCUCCAAGAGGGGCCCGCGUCCGAUUAGCUAGUUGGUGGGGUAACGGCUCACCAAGGCUACGAUCGGUAGCCGGCCUGAGAGGGUGAUCGGCCACACUGGAACUGAGACACGGUCCAGACCGCUACGGUGGGCAGCAGUACGGGAUAUUGCGCAAUGGGCGAAAGCCUGACGCAGCAACGCCGCGUGAAGGAUGAAGGCCUUCGGGUUGUAAACUUCUGUCAGGCGGGACGAACGAGCGGCGGUGAAUAGCCGCCGUUUCUUGACGGUACCGCCGGAGGAAGCCCCGGCUAACUCCGUGCCAGCAGCCGCGGUAAUACGGAGGGGGCAAGCGUUAUUCGGAAUUAUUGGGCGUAAAGGGCGUGUAGGCGGCUUGAUAAGCCAAAGGUGAAAUCCCUCAGCUCAACUGAGGAACUGCCUUUGGAAC
rnacentral:rRNA from 1 species